ACCUAUAGCUUUACUUCAUAACCAAACUAAUACUCUUAAGCUAUUUUCUAAAUCAAAUAAAACUCUCUUUUGCUAAAAUUUCAAGGGAAGUCAAUAAUGAAACCAUUUGCAGCCUUUGUUCUUAUCUUCUUGCUUGCCUUGACCUUAGAGGGUGUGGGGCCAAGAGUGGCAGAAGGAUUCUUGGGAAUUGGAAAGAAAUGCAAAGUUCCAAGUAAAACAAAAAAAGGGCCAUGCGCAAGUGAUUCCAACUGUGACGCCAUUUGCAGGUCGGAGGGAAUGAGAGCAGGAAUUUGCCAUGGCUUUCGCAGGAGAUGCCUUUGCUGUCCUCAUUAGGGUUCCAUCAUCGACUAUGAUGACUUAAGUACUCUCUCCGUCUGAAAUUAAUAGUCAUGUUUGAACUGCCGUUCAAACUAACUAACGUAACUUGAACUGCCGUUCAAACUAACUAAUGUAACUUAAAUCGGACCGAUGAAGUUAGAGAGUACCAUUAUCUAUCAAUCUAUCUAGCUCCAUGUACUGGCAAUUUGUUUACCUUAUAUAUUCUGGUCUGAAUGAGUUGUUUUUCUAGCUAGUUUCUAUUAAAGUGUUGUAUGAGAGUUGUUUUUCUUGUAAAAUUAAAGUGUGCAUCAUGAAUGGAGCCAUGUAGGCGUUACCUUUGAGUAAUAUAUUUCCUACGAACUCACA